CAGGAGUUGAUGUAGCAUUACAUGUUCUGCUUGCUGCAUUUUUGGAGAAGUGCAUGCAGAUACUCAAGUGACUCACAGACAUGCAACAGCUCAGAAGGCCAUCCUGUUUGUCUUUCAGUGAGAAGGAAAAGCCAAUAAACAUCUGUUGAACAUCAGGCAAAUUUGAACCACCAUGGGACAUUAUCUUGUGUCAUGAACAGACCACAGUUGACUCUCGGUUCCAGCAAGUGGGAGCUGGGGGAGUGAAAAUCGGCACGCAGCUGUGGACAGCAACUGAUAACACAAGCGUCCUGAGUGCUCAAAACAGAGGCGAAUCCCUCUCAACCCAGUGACCCCACAUCUGGGACUCUUCAAGAGGAAUAACACCAAACACUGGA
rnacentral:lncRNA from 1 species